GAUGAACGCUGGCGGCGUGCCUAAUACAUGCAAGUCGAGCGAACGGACGAGAAGCUUGCUUCUCUGAUGUUAUCGGCGGACGGGUGAGUAACACGUGGAUAACCUACCUAUAAGACUGGGAUAACUUCGGGAAACCGUAGCUAAUACCGGAUAAUAUUUUGAACCGCAUGGUUCAAAAGUGAAAGACGGUCUUGCUGUCACUUAUAGAUGGAUCCGCGCUGCAUUAGCUAGUUGGUAAGGUAACGGCUUACCAAGGCAACGAUGCAUAGCCGACCUGAGAGGGUGAACGGCCACACUGGAACUGAGACACGGUCCAGACUCCUACGGGAGGCAGCAGUAGGGAAUCUUACGCAAGGGGCGAGAGCCGGACGGAGCAACGCCGCGUGAGGGAUGACGGUCUUCGGAUCGUAAAACUCUGUUAUUAGGGAAGAACAUAUGUGUAAGUAACUGUGCACAUCUUGACGGUACCUAAUCAGAAAGCCACGGCUAACUACGUG
rnacentral:rRNA from 1 species